ACCAGCUAAUUCUAUAAACUUGGCAUAUAACUCCAGUCAGUUCAUCAUUGAGGUCUGCUUUACCAAUAUCUUUUCCUGGUACAUAAAGAAUUUAGAA